CCUACGGGUGGCAGCAGUGAGGAAUAUUGGUCAGUGGACGAGAGUCUGAACCAGCCAAGUAGCGUGAAGGAUGACUGCCCUAUGGGUUGUAAACUUCUUUUAUAAAGGAAUAAAACGCGGCACGUGUGCCUUUUCGCAUGUACUCUAUGAAUAAGGAUCGGCUAACUCCGUGCCAGCAGCCGCGGUAAUACGGAGGAUGCGAGCGUUAUCCGGAUUUAUUGGGUUUAAAGGGUGCGUAGAUGGGAUGUUAUGUCAGGUGUGAAAGUUUGCGGCUCAACCGUAAAAGUGCAAUUGAUACUGGUAGUCUUGAGUACAGUUGAGGUAGGCGGAAUUCGUGGUGUAGCGGUGAAAUGCUUAGAUAUCACGCAGAACCCCGAUUGCGAAGGCAGCUUACUAAACUGUGACUGACAUUGAUGCACGAAAGUGUGGGUAUCGAACAGGAUUAGAUACCCGAGUAGUC
rnacentral:rRNA from 1 species